GCUGGGCGUGGUGGCGCGCGCCUAUAGUCCCAGCUACUCAAGAGGCUGAGGUGGGAGGAUCGCUUGAGUCCAGGAGUUCUGGGCUGCAGUGCACUAUGCCGAUCGGGUGUCCGCACUAAGUUCGGCAUCAAUAUGGUGACCUCCCUGGGGCAGGGGACCACCAUGUUGCCUAAGGAGGGGUGAACCGGCCCAGAUCGGAAACGGAGCAGGUCAAAACUUCCGUGCUGAUCAGUAGUGGAAUCACGUCUGUGAAUAGCCACUGCACUCCAACCUGGGCAAUAUAGUGAGACCCUGUCUCU
rnacentral:SRP_RNA from 1 species